rnacentral:rRNA from 1 species
CGGCGAGCGAACGGGGAGCAGCCCAGAGCCUGAAUCAGUGUGUGUGUUAGUGGAAGCGUCUGGAAAGGCGCGCGAUACAGGGUGACAGCCCCGUACACAAAAAUGCACAUGCUGUGAGCUCGAUGAGUAGGGCGGGACACGUGGUAUCCUGUCUGAAUAUGGGGGGACCAUCCUCCAAGGCUAAAUACUCCUGACUGACCGAUAGUGAACCAGUACCGUGAGGGAAAGGCGAAAAGAACCCCGGCGAGGGGAGUGAAAAAGAACCUGAAACCGUGUACGUACAAGCAGUGGGAGCACGCUUAGGCGUGUGACUGCGUACCUUUUGUAUAAUGGGUCAGCGACUUAUAUUCUGUAGCAAGGUUAACCGAAUAGGGGAGCCGAAGGGAAACCGAGUCUUAACUGGGCGUUAAGUUGCAGGGUAUAGACCCGAAACCCGGUGAUCUAGCCAUGGGCAGGUUGAAGGUUGGGUAACACUAACUGGAGGACCGAACCGACUAAUGUUGAAAAAUUAGCGGAUGACUUGUGGCUGGGGGUGAAAGGCCAAUCAAACCGGGAGAUAGCUGGUUCUCCCCGAAAGCUAUUUAGGUAGCGCCUCGUGAAUUCAUCUCCGGGGGUAGAGCACUGUUUCGGCAAGGGGGUCAUCCCGACUUACCAACCCGAUGCAAACUGCGAAUACCGGAGAAUGUUAUCACGGGAGACACACGGCGGGUGCUAACGUCCGUCGUGAAGAGGGAAACAACCCAGACCGCCAGCUAAGGUCCCAAAGUCAUGGUUAAGUGGGAAACGAUGUGGGAAGGCCCAGACAGCCAGGAUGUUGGCUUAGAAGCAGCCAUCAUUUAAAGAAAGCGUAAUAGCUCACUGGUCGAGUCGGCCUGCGCGGAAGAUGUAACGGGGCUAAACCAUGCACCGAAGCUGCGGCAGCGACGCUGAUGCGUUGUUGGGUAGGGGAGCGUUCUGUAAGCCUG